GUGCCAGCAGCCGCGGUAAUACGGAGGUUGCAAGCGUUAUCCGGAUUUAUUGGGUUUAAAGGGUGCGUAGGCGGGAUCAUAAGUCAGUGGUGAAAACCUGCAGCUUAACUGUAGAACUGCCAUUGAUACUGUGAUUCUUGAGUAUAGUUGAGGUGGGCGGAAUGUGUAGUGUAGCGGUGAAAUGCUUAGAUAUUACACAGAACACCGAUUGCGUAGGCAGCUCACUAAACUAAAACUGACGCUGAGGCACGAAAGCGUGGGGAGCAAACAGGAUUAGAUACCCGCGUAGUCC
rnacentral:rRNA from 1 species